ACCGACGACGUUGCUUCUAGAUUGAGCUUUCCUUUAUGGUAUCAGAGCUCUCCUGGCAUGGCUAGCUCGUCCUCCACUGCAUCCACAAAUCCGGUCUUCGGCUUCACCAUCACCGAAAAGCUGACCAAGCAGAAUUUUGCGAUAUGGUCGGCUCAAAUGCUUGCGGCCAUCCGCGGCGCAAGCCUUGAGGGGCAUAUUGACGGCACGACCGCAGCCCCUGACGCCAAGAUCGACAAGACGCAGGGAGAGAAAGUUGUGAAGGUUGCGAAUCCUGAGUACCAGAAGUGGUUCGCUGCAGAUCAACAGCUACUCGGCUACAUCUUCUCAUCUCUUUCACGGGAGAUCCUUGGUCAGAUCACCGACUGUAGAUCGGCGCUCCAGGCAUGGCGUGCUAUCGAGAGUAUUUUCACCUCCCAAACACGCGCGCGCUCCCUCAACACCAGGCUUGCACUCCAAACAACGGUGAAAGGUACCAUGUCUGUUUCAGAGUAUUUUGGGAAGAUGAAAGCUCUAGCUGAUGAAGUAGCUGCAAAUGGCAAACCUCUAGAUGAGGAAGAUUUUAUUGCUUAUAUCCUAAAUGGUCUAGAUGGAGAAUUUGAUUCGGUAGUUUCUGCUAUUGGUAUAUAAACUGAACCAAUCUCUGUAAUGGAAGUAUAUUCCUAAGUUCUCAAUUUUGAGAAUAGACUAAAGCUCCGACAAGAAGCCACGGCAUCUGCACAUGCAGCAAGUCGCGGGCGUGGGGGCUUCAACCCACGCGCCGGUGGCUUCUCCGGCGGCGGCAACCAUGGGCGUGGUCGUGGUGCUUCUACUGGUGGCAGUAGAAGCACCAAUUUUCCUGGCGGUAGUGGUGGAGGCGGCGGCAACAACCGUGGCCGUGGCUACACUCCUACACGCAACAGAGGAAAUCAGCAACGUGUUGACACAAGGCCAUUCUGUCAAGUGUGCUAUAAGCGCGGCUGCAGCUCAAGCCGCCUAUGCUGUCGACACAAAUUGGUACAUUGAUUCCGGGGCGACUGACCACAUCACGAGUGAGUUGGACAAACUCACCGUUAGAGAGAAGUACAAAGGGGACCGAGCAGAUUCACACUACUAAUGGUGCAGGGACUGGACCAUGAGGAACAUAAUUCUUAAAGGGCAGUAUCAAAAGGGGCUCUAUCCUCUUCCUUCCGAAGGUGCUAAGUAUGUCUGUAGUGUUGUGUCGUCUUUUGCAAAAUGGCGUCUUUUGCAAAAUGGCACAAUCGUCUUGGUCAUCCAGCUACUCCCAUUGUCUCAAGAGCAGUUAGCCAGAAUAAAUUGUCAUGUCAAAAGUCUCAUAGUAAGUCUGUGUGUGAUGCUUGCCAAAAGGCUAAAAGUCAUCAGUUACCUUAUUCUAGAUCUACUAGUGUGUCUACUCGUCCUUUGGAACUUGUCUAUUCAGAUGUUUGGGGUCCUGUUCCUAGUUCUGUUGGAGGAAAUAAAUUCUAUUGUUAGUUUUAUUGAACAUAAAUCCGAAUUGUUUUAAAAAUUUCAUGAGUUCCAAGCUCUUGUUGAGCGUCUCCUUGGACACAAAAUUAUC